UCAGAAAUGCUUCCUGAACAGCAAACCUCAACUUCACAGACGGUCCCAUCGGAAAACAGCUGACAAAGGCCUGGUUAUGUAAUGGAAGCAGCAAAUAACUAGCACAAAUACUCCCCAACAGAAGUGGAAGAAACACCCCCUAAGUGCUGCGUAAAGAGCUGCUGAAGAAAUAGGCUAUGCUUUAAAAGCCCUUAAAUGUGGAUUUAAUUUUAUACUGCGAUUCACAU
rnacentral:lncRNA from 1 species